rnacentral:lncRNA from 1 species
GCGCAGUGAGUGCCUCCCGUCUCUUCUACCCGAACCCCCCCUUCCCCCCAAGCAGAGAGACCCCAGCAGCAGCAGCAGCUGAUGAUGAAGAGGGAGGCAGUGGCAGAGGGGGGGCACCUUUUAUUUCUAUUUUUAAAGGGACAGGACACUAAUUCUACCCCACUUCAACCUUGAAUUGAGGGGGGUGGGGGGAAGGUGGCUGAGUUCCUUCCCCCACCCUCCAGCCCUGAGCCCAGAGAGGGGGAUUGAGCCUGAGAGAGAAGGAGAAGGAGUUUCUUCUUCUUCGAAAAUCCCCAUCCACGACUCCUACCCCCUCACCCCUCCAACUCGCCUCCCUCCCGAGCCCCCUCCACCCUCCUCUUUGGCCGUGAGAGGAGGAGAGAAAGAAACCAAAAGCCUCUUAGCAACACAGACCCUUUGCUGCUGCUGCUGCUGCUGCUGCUGUUGCUGCUGCUGCUGCUGCUACUGCUGCUGCUGCUGCUGCUGCUGCUUGGCCCUGGCUGGAGACAUCUCACUACACCCAGGAGCAGCCACUUCCCCAGCUCUCCUCCUCCUCCUUCGCCUCCUCCUCCUCCACUCCCCCCCUUUAUUACCCUUUGUGUCAUCCUCCACAGCUCCAGGGAAGGCACUCAAAAGUGGGGGGCAGGAAAGACAAUUAUCAACCUUCCAGUUUUCUAUGGAUAUGAAGAUUUACUCCUAGUCAUCAGUGGGACCCCCAUGAAGUCAGCCAGAAAGCCUAUAUCCAACUUAUGUACCUUUGCAAACUUGUCUGGAAUUUGACU